GACUCGGCGGCUCCGCAACGACACCGCCGCCGCCGCCGCCGCCAAGCGGGAGGGCGCGUGCCACGGCCCCGCCGCCCCCGCCCGCGCUGGGCCGCGUCGCCACCGCCCCCCGAAGGCCGCGCUGCGCCCCCGGACCCUCCCGCCCUCGCCCUCGCCCUCGCCCUGGGGGGCCCAACAGCUGGGCGGGCUGGGGGGCGACCCCGCCUCCUCACUAACUCAGAGCGCAGCGAGGGCGCAUGCGGAGAGGGGCGACCCCCCUCUGCCCUCCGCCGCCCCCCGAACUUCUCCACCUCCGAGGGUGCCUACUGGCAGGGAGCAAACCGCCAGACCCCUGUGCGCUCUUCCGGGUGCAGGGUCGGGGCCCCCACACACUGUCUAGAGCUCGUGGCAGGAAGGCCUAGGCCCAAGCAGUGCUCCGCGCUGGGGCACUGGGUGAGAGAGAGGACCUCCUCCUCUGCACCCUCUGGGAGCGCCCCCGAAGAGGGUCUCCUGCCUUCCUUCCUUCCCCGCAGUGGCAGGAGCUCCCUGUCUCCUCUUCUGUAGUGGAGCACAGUGGGCUCUUGCCUAACUCCUGUGUCAUGGGCACCUUGCAGGAGUGCAGCCCCCAGCAACGCACCGUCUUGCCUGGCGUUCCCCUGCCUGUUGGGGAGCAGGCUUCCGGGAGCUGCAGGGCCACAUGGGCCUCAGUUUUCAGUGUAGAAGGCCUAUGGGGUACUCUCUGUAUAGUCCUGCCUCAUUGAGUCUCCUCUGCCCACCCCACCCCACCCCGUUGGGAUGGCAUUGAGGGCACUAAGGAGCUUGGCCCAGCGCUGGUGUGAGCCCAGUGGGCUAGAGUUCACUUCUUCAGGUCACCUUGGGCCCUGGGCAGAGGACACAGGAGAGACCCACCUAGAACUGAGAGCCAAGCUUCUGUGAGGACAGUGUCCCCUCCUCACCUACCGGGGAGGGUAGGCUGUCUCAUCCUGGAAGCCAGGAGGUCUCAUCCAUGACCUCCAAAAGCUCACUAGUUCAGAUCCAACCUGAACUACUUAGUGACUUCACAAGACCCUGUCUCAAAAUUAAAAAGUACGGGGGUGUGGCUCAGUGAGAUGGCUCUGGGUUGGAUCCUCAGUACCAAGAAAAACAAAACAACACCAUUACCCUUUGGAGGUCUGACCUUAGUCGUUGUCAGGGCAAAAGCCUCCCAGACCCCACCUUCUUCCCACAGCCUUGUCACGGGAAUCUAAGACUAGCUGCCCUCCCUUCUCCCCGAGCUGCCCCUGUGUCCCCUGCAGCAGACAUGGGCACUCCGGACUGCCCUGUCAUCAAUCCUGGGACCUUCUUCUCUCCUCCCUCUGCCACCCGGGCUGCCCUGUCCCCCUCGCAGGCAGGGAAAGGGAAGCCAAGGACCCACAGCAUACAUGGAGACAUAGACCUGGAACCUUUUGGGGGAUUUUACUUCUGGCAUCACUUGAGGACUACCUGAUCUAGAAAGAAAAGGUUGGAUCGUGGGUCAUUCCCCUCUGCAGACCGUGAGAGAGCCCGAAGAGGAGGAGGGCAGGAUGGAGAGACUGGACUCACCUCCCUAAGCACCCUCAAACAACACCCACGCUUGAACACGACCAGGAACUGGGUCUCAGCCUUUCCUGGGUCCAGACCCUCUCAUCGGAAAUGGUGCUUUCCUUUGGCUUAGAGAAUGUGAUUACUCUACUGCCAGAUUUUCGUUUUCUUGGAGGUUCUGGGAGUGCGCUCCAAUAACAGACAACACUGAUGAGUCGGACUUAUAAAUAUCCAGAGCCUCAUCCCUCCAAGGAAACCCAGUUGAGUGGGCAACUGGCCGCUGUCCUUGGCUGGGAUUCUCUCUUGCCUGCACCCUGUGCGGGUCUUUCCGGGUGGGUGGAGUUUGCCUUCCGGUCCUUUCCCGGCUCCCAACAUAGUAUUAUUCAUCUCAGCAACUCUUGUUUCCUCACAGCUUGUGCUGAUAAAUGUCUGCCCACACAAGAAGCAAAAAAUACUAAUAAUAAUAACUUGUAACUUAACUGUAUAGGGAAAGAGCUGCGAGACUUAGGAGGAAAAAAGUAAGCCCUUAAUUACUUUUUUCUUUCCAGUGAGAAAGGCAAAUAUUUUUAAUGUUCACAUCUCCACGGCACGCAGGCUCUCUCCCUCUAUGGUAGGUCGGGUUGUUGGAAGACUUUUAGGAAAUUUUGUUAAACUAUGAUGGCAAAAUUAGUGGCCCUCUGCAUGAAGACUUUACAUUUGACUCUUACAGGAGUUUGUUUUUUUUUUUUAAACACUCAUUCCCAUAUCAGUUUAUUUGGCAAAUAAUUUAUUUUGUGCCUGUCAUGGACCAGAUGUUCAAGAGAAAAGGACAAGGAUUCUAGAGCCCUCCAAGGAAUUUCCAGUGUCUUGGGAAAAGCAGGACUACACAGAUCAAAACAGAAACAAAACCCACACUCCUCCCCCUCCUCAAUUCUCCCCUACAAUUUAAAUGGUGUCAUCAUAGACGGAGGUCCUAGAAAAAAAAAUAAUAAUGUAAAAACCAAGGGUAGGUCAGGCGUCUCUGAAUUUUUGUUCAAAUUUUGUUUUGUUUUUGAUGCUUAUGUUUAUGGGGUCCCUGUCAGUGUUUUACGUGUCAUGCAAAAUAUGUGUGGGCUAGUAUACGGGUCACUGUUAUUCUGUUGGGAUUUAGAAUCAGCGAGACCAAGUGUGCCUUCAAAUGUUUCAUAUCACUCUCCAUUUGGAUAGAGGGUAAAAAAAUAAAAAAGAGGAAAAAAAAAACCGUGACUCCUAAAUGGCGUGGAGUAAAAUGGAAAACUUCCUUCGUGUCCAGACAAAACGAUGAAAUACAUGCUCGGGUCACUAAAGGGGCCCCAAGGAGUCUUCAAGUAUAUUUCUGCACCUUUGGGUAGCAGGAUUGCUAGCAAGGAUAAGGAAUGGGGAAUAAAGGGGGUUUUCCCAUAAAUUUACUCUGUCCAUUUAUUUGUGACAAAGUGCGCAGGAAAACCAGCAGUGGAAGCUUUGAGUCAAAGGAAUGAAGGAGAGGCGUGAGGAGAAUUUGUUUCCCCUGCAACGCUAGAGGGCAGCCCUCCAUCCUCACAGUGGCAGGGCCAGCUGGCUGGUGUGUCACUGGGUGUAGGAUUCUGCUAGCAGCACCACCUUGGAAUUCCUAACAGUUUUUGAACAAGAGUCAAAGGGAUUCUCAUUUGGUCUCCAGGCCUGUAAAUUAAAAAGCUGGAAUACUGUACCCAAGAGUACUCACAGGCCCACAUGCCUGCAGUCUGUGGCCUUGGGUGCCACCCUGUGGGCCGCCUGUGGCCUCCCAAUCUGUUCCUCUUUCCUGGACUUCUCCUGCACUGGAUACUCCUCAUGAUUGUUAAUCUAAGUAAUCAUGCUCAACACGGGUUGACACAUCAAUGAGUUUUGGUUUAAAAAUAACCCCUUUCCUAGUUCCUAUUUCAAACCCAGUUAGAUUAGCUGCGUCAAUAAGGCUGCUGCUGUGUCCCUCCCAGCGUCCACAGUGCCCUGAUUGAUUAAAUACAGGCAGCCCACAAACUACACCAAGGACAGAAGCGGGCAUGUGCGGACCAACCCAGGCAUGUUGAAGUACUGAGCACCGAGAAUCUCUCUCUGUGUAUUCAUUUUUUUCUCUGGCAAAUGUAUUACUAAAAUUUAUAUAAUAAAGUAUGAACACUAUGUCAACGGA